CUGCGAUCUAGCUGUAGCACUUCCUUUACCUGCUGCCCUCCCAGGUACCCUCCCGGACUGGACCCCUGGCUCACACCCUACCAGAAAGGCCAAUGCAGGCCCAGUAACUUCGGGCAAGGGGGCAGGUAGGAUGGAGUUGCCCAGUAGCACUGUCACUCAGAAAUCGAGGUGGGGCCAGAACUGACUUUCCGGCCUCGGGGUAGACCCUAGAAUCUAGAAUUGAAGAGGCUAAAGCAAGCCUCAGAACAGCCUGGCCAAAGGCCCUAGGACUGCUCUCUCCUCUUUCAGUACAUGGUCUUCCUGGAAGCAUAAAGCCAUACCUUUGCUUUGAGUUUUGAUUUUUUUUUUAAAGAAACAGUUGAUCCUUAGGUAUUGUUAACCCAGAGCUGGACCCCAAAGAGGAUUUCAGGAGAGCCCCAAAUGCCCUGAUAGAGCACACGGUUGUAUGGGGGGGGGGGUGGUGGCGGUGUAGAGCAUGUGCUUCUUGGAGUAAGGCAGUAUAGAAUAAUGGUUAAUAGUGUAGACUUUGGAGUCAAACUCACUGAGUUUGAAGCCUGAUUAUACCAGUUUACAAUCUUUGACACAAGUUUCUCAACCCUUUCAAGGCUCUGUUUUCUCAUCUGCUAAAUGGGGAUGAUGAUAACACUCUCUUGGGUGGUUGCCAGGAUCCAGUGAAUCAGUACAGGUACAGCCCCUAGAGCAGGACCAGGUUAAAUGGUGAAUAUCACUGAUCACCAGCUGUUAGGACAAGACAAUAGCUUUGGGCACAUCUUCCAAAGUCAAUGAUCCGAGGUGAGAAACACUGAAGUACUUGGGGGGCUGGUUAGGAGUGUGGCCUCAGCAUCAAGGGGACCUGAAGACUGCCGGUCGUCAUGGGGCUGGAGACAAGUAACCUCUGUCCUUUAGCUUAUUAACUCUUCUGUGAGAUGGAAGCAGUCAUGGGACUUACUUCAUGGACGUUUGUGAGGAUUACCUGAGAGGCUGCAUGCAGCGUGCACAGCCUCUGACACAGAAGCCGCUGGAGCACCCCUGAAGCCUCAACAACCAAUCCCAUCAGGAGGGAGAGGCACCCCUGAAAACUUCACACUGACUGAUCAUCAUCGGCUGGAAGGCCUGGUGGAUUUUUCACAACUUGGAGAGGAACCCAGUAUCUGCUCCUUGGUGUGGUGGUUGAGAGCCCAGGCUCUGAAGUCAGAUGGCCUUGGUGCUAAUCAGUGCCUUCACCACAUACCACUCUAAGCCUCAGUUUGUUCAUCUGCAAAAAGGGAAUAAUGAGGAGUAUCCAACUCACCUGGUUACUUUAAGAAAUAAGUAAAGACAGCCCACAUAAAAGUAUCGAGCAAGUCUUUGCUACUA
rnacentral:lncRNA from 12 species